CGUCGUCAGCUUACCCUGUGAAGGAACAACAGUAAACAAAAUGGGCACACCCCAAAACGUCAGGUCGAGGUGUAGCGCACGAAGUGGGAAGAAAUGGGCUACAUUUUCUAAAUAUAGAAUAUCACGAACGGCACCAUGAAAAAGGCGCCCGAAGGAGGAUUUAGCAGUAAAAAGAAAACAGAGAGUUCUUUUGAAUUAGGCUCUGAAGCACGCACACACCGCCCGUCACUCUCUCCUACAGUACUUAAAUACGUAACUAACAAACUAAUAACGCACACGGGGAGGCAAGUCGUAACAUGG
rnacentral:rRNA from 1 species